GCAGAACAAGUGUGACCUUAUUGUCAAUCUUAAAACUUCAGCAAACCAAAAAGUUAGGAGUAUCAGUCUUCGUAGAGAAGGCUGGAUUAGCUCUUGGAGAGUUGCGAAAGGAAAAUAAUUCCUAAGAAGACUUUGGCCAGUAACUAAUCCACCUUCAAGUCAAGAACAUCUUUUACAUCCUCAACUUUUACAGAAGCCUCUCCGCCCAUUCCUUGCUCGAGGGUAUUUUGACGAUGUAGGAGUGUAAAAUGUGAUUCCAUUAAGGACGUCGUGUCCUUUUUGUAAUACGUUGUAGAUUAUGAAUAUAUAGUGGGAAUGUAGAGUUUUUGUAUUGCCUUUGGAUUGCUCCCCUAUUGUAUUUGUAUUGUCAUAGUAUUGCCAUUGUAGUGUCGUGGUAUUGACUGGUUAUUGCACUUAUAUUUCUUUCUUAUCACCUGUUUUUUCAAGUCUAUCUUGUGAAGGAACUUAUAAGGAUAUUUUGUAAAAGAAAACGCUUGAUUGUAUUAGUUUAUUUUGUAAAGGAAAAUGUUAGAUCAUUAUUCAUUAUCAUAUAAAUAAGGUAUAACAA